ensembl:lncRNA
UAAAGCAACUCCGCGUUGAUUGAACUAAUUGUUAUCAGCCUUUCUGAAACCGAAUAUUCCGAGUUGGACAGUUCGGGGUUACUCAACCCUGAGUAUCAUUUUUAACUCUGAGUUUUCUAAACCGGCUUUCUGAAACAGGGCCCUGGUCCUGCACUGGUGUCUAUCAGCUUAAUGACUUGCAGAGAGAGGGACUGUGGAAACUCAGCCUGUUCAGAGGUUAUGGAGUUUUCCAAAAAGCCAGCAGCACAUAGCCCGGUGGCGAUGACACUUGGUCCCUGAGAUGGACUAGGUAUACAGGGAGUACCUCGCCCAGUAACAGCAGCAGCAGGACAAGCAGUGGAUGGAUGGAUGGAUGGAUGGAUGGAUGGACGAACAGACCAGAUGGUGCAAAGGACCUUACUAUGGAGUUUAUUUUUGGCCACAAGAUGUGUUACUGCAGUAGUCUAAUGGGCCUUUUGGAAGUGUAACAGCACUACUUGUGCACAACAGAUGGACAAAAAUUCAUUCAUCAUCAACUUUUGACAAGGUUCAUUCGCUAAUUGAAAACUGUAAAGUUUCACAGCUGCAUCACAGCUUUGUCUUUAGACAGCAGUGGCAUUAUUAUUUGUUUUGGGGUUUUUUCCAAAUGUGUAUUUGCAUAGUUUGAAGUUCUCUUAGAUGUAGCUAUUUAGCUUUUAUAUUUUAUAUAUUUUACUUACACUGAACUGUCAACACUGUUUGUAAACACG